UCGCCGAGCCAUGUAAAUCGUU
rnacentral:miRNA from 1 species